UACGGAGGGGGCUAGCGUUGUUCGGAAUUACUGGGCGUAAAGCGCGCGUAGGCGGAUUGUUAAGUCGGGGGUGAAAUCCCGGGGCUCAACCCCGGAAUGGCCUCCGAUACUGGCAAUCUUGAGGACGGGAGAGGUGAGUGGAAUGGCGAGUGUAGAGGUGAAAUUCGUAGAUAUUCGCCGGAACACCAGUGGCGAAGGCGGCUCACUGGCCCGUUACUGACGAUGAGGUGCGACAGCGUGGGGAGCAAACAGG
rnacentral:rRNA from 1 species